rnacentral:misc_RNA from 1 species
GGAACUUAUUCAUUAUACCCCUCAUUUUCGAGUGAGGCGGAUUAGAUUCGUCUGAUCGUAGUGGUGGUGGCUUGCUUCGGCGAGCCCGGCAGGCCUUCGGGCUUGCUCAGGGGUUCGCUCCUGAGAUUAUCAUCCAACCUCCAAGGAUGGUAAUCCGGCGUCGAUUGUAAGGUCUAAACAAUUGACGCACCACUACUACAGUCCCAACGACUGAGGGACUCGUCGACUCGGUUAAGAUCGGAAACCGGGUCGAGGUAUAGUGAAUGAGUUCCAAUUCUCCAUUUACGGCAUCUUGUGCGAACCGAUCACGCACGAGAUGGUCCUUACGGGGUGUCCCAACAGUCGAGGGGCACGCAGGAUGCCUAGAAUAGACCACUAGGUAUCCUCAGUGCGCCAUGCAAUGGAGGAGCAUGGUGCACUGCAGGGCUCCUGAAAAGGAGUCCUGGCAGAAGGGUUCGCCUUUCUCCCGUAGGGACGACUUUCUUUGAAAAAAGGAAGUCCCAGUUUGCUUCGGCGAACUCCGACUCUAGGAAACUAGGGUCGGGUAGAUGGAGAAUU